GACGAACGCUGGCGGCGUGCUUAACACAUGCAAGUCGAACGAUGAAGCCGGAGCUUGCUCUGGUGAAUUAGUGGCGAACGGGUGAGUAACACGUGAGUAACCUGCCCUUGACUCUGGGAUAACUGCGGGAAACUGUAGCUAAUACCGGAUACGACCCUCGGAGGCAUCUCCUGGGGGUGGAAAGAAUUUCGGUCAAGGAUGGACUCGCGGCCUAUCAGCUAGUUGGUGAGGUAAGGGCUGACCAAGGCGACGACGGGUAGCCGGCCUGAGCGGGUGACCGGCCACACUGGGACUGAGACACGGCCCAGACUCCUACGGGAGGCAGCAGUGGGGAAUAUUGCACAAUGGGAGCAAGCCUGAUGCAGCAACGCCGCGUGGGGGAUGACGGCCUUCGGGUUGUAAACCUCUUUUAGCAGGGAAGAAGCGAAAGUGACGGUACCUGCAGAAAAAGCACCGGCUAACUACGUGCCAGCCGCCGCCGUAA
rnacentral:rRNA from 1 species